CCUACGGGAGGCAGCAGUGAGGAAUAUUGGUCAAUGGGCGGAAGCCUGAACCAGCCAAGUCGCGUGAGGGAUUAAGGCCCUGCGGGUCGUAAACCUCUUUUGCCGGGGAGCAGAGGUCCGGACGUGUCCGGGCCGGGAGAGUACCCGGAGAAAAAGCAUCGGCUAACUCCGUGCCAGCAGCCGCGGUAAUACGGAGGAUGCGAGCGUUAUCCGGAUGUAUUGGGUUUAAAGGGUGCGUAGGCGGGCAUUUAAGCCGGCGGUCAAAUGUCGGGGCUCAACCCCGGCCUGCCGUCGGAACUGGCAGUCUUGAGUGGGCGAGAAGUAUGCGGAAUGCGUGGUGUAGCGGUGAAAUGCAUAGAUAUCACGCAGAACUCCGAUUGCGAAGGCAGCAUACCGGCGCCCUACUGACGCUGAGGCACGAAAGCGUGGGUAUCGAACAGGAUUAGAUACCCCAGUAGUC
rnacentral:rRNA from 1 species